GACGGAGGAUGCAAGCGUUAUCCGGAAUUAUUGGGCGUAAAGGGUCCGCAGGUGGUCUUUCAAGUCUGCUUUCAAAGAGUGGAGCUCAACUCCAUAGAGGGAGUGGAAACUGAUUGACUAGAGUAAGGAAGGGGUAAGAGGAAUUCCCAGUGUAGCGGUGAAAUGCGUAGAUAUUGGGAAGAACACCAGCAGCGAAGGCGUCUUACUGGUCCUUAACUGACACUGAGGGACGAAAGCUAGGGGAGCGAAAGGG
rnacentral:rRNA from 1 species